GACGACGGGUAGCCGACCUGAGAGGGUGACCGGCCACACUGGGACUGAGACACGGCCCAGACUCCUACGGGAGGCAGCAGUGGGGAAUAUUGCACAAUGGGCGAAAGCCUGAUGCAGCGACGCCGCGUGAGGGAUGACGGCCUUCGGGUUGUAAACCUCUUUCAGCAGGGACGAAGCGCAAGUGACGGUACCUGCAGAAGAAGCACCGGCUAACUACGUGCCAGCAGCCGCGGUAAUACGUAGGGUGCAAGCGUUGUCCGGAAUUACUGGGCGUAAAGAGUUCGUAGGCGGUUUGUCGCGUCGUUUGUGAAAACCAGCAGCUCAACUGCUGGCUUGCAGGCGAUACGGGCAGACUUGAGUACUGCAGGGGAGACUGGAAUUCCUGGUGUAGCGGUGAAAUGCGCAGAUAUCAGGAGGAACACCGGUGGCGAAGGCGGGUCUCUGGGCAGUAACUGACGCUGAGGAACGAAAGCGUGGGUAGCGAACAGGAUUAGAUACCCUGGUAGUCCACGCCGUAAACGGUGGGCGCUAGGUGUGGGUUCCUUCCACGGAAUCCGUGCCGUAGCUAACGCAUUAAGCGCCCCGCCUGGGGGAGUACGGA
rnacentral:rRNA from 1 species